ACCGACUUACGUUGAAAAGUGAGCGGAUGAACUGAGGGUAGCGGAGAAAUUCCAAUCGAACCUGGAGAUAGCUGGUUCUCUCCGAAAUAGCUUUAGGGCUAGCCUCAAGUGAUGAUUAUUGGAGGUAGAGCACUGUUUGGACGAGGGGCCCCUCUCGGGUUACCGAAUUCAGACAAACUCCGAAUGCCAAUUAAUUUAACUUGGGAGUCAGAACAUGGGUGAUAAGGUCCGUGUUCGAAAGGGAAACAGCCCAGACCACCAGCUAAGGUCCCAAAAUAUAUGUUAAGUGGAAAAGGAUGUGGCGUUGCCCAGACAACUAGGAUGUUGGCUUAGAAGCAGCCAUCAUUUAAAGAGUGCGUAAUAGCUCACUAGUCGAGUGACACUGCGCCGAAAAUGUACCGGGGCUAAACAUAUUACCGAAGCUGUGGAUUGUCCUUUGGACAAUGGUAGGAGAGCGUUCUAAGGGCGUUGAAGCAUGAUCGUAAGGACAUGUGGAGCGCUUAGAAGUGAGAAUGCCGGUGUGAGUAGCGAAAGACGGGUGAGAAUCCCGUCCACCGAUUGACUAAGGUUUCCAGAGGAAGGCUCGUCCGCUCUGGGUUAGUCGGGUCCUAAGCUGAGGCCGACAGGCGUAGGCGAUGGAUAACAGGUUGAUAUUCCUGUACCACCUAUAAUCGUUUUAAUCGAUGGGGGGACGCAGUAGGAUAGGCGAAGCGUGCGAUUGGAUUGCACGUCUAAGCAGUAAGGCUGAGUAUUAGGCAAAUCCGGUACUCGUUAAGGCUGAGCUGUGAUGGGGAGAAGACAUUGUGUCUUCGAGUCGUUGAUUUCACACUGCCGAGAAAAGCCUCUAGAUAGAAAAUAGGUGCCCGUACCGCAAACCGACACAGGUAGUCAAGAUGAGAAUUCUAAGGUGAGCGAGCGAACUCUCGUUAAGGAACUCGGCAAAAUGACCCCGUAACUUCGGGAGAAGGGGUGCUCUUUAGGGUUAACGCCCAGAAGAGCCGCAGUGAAUAGGCCCAAGCGACUGUUUAUCAAAAACACAGGUCUCUGCUAAACCGUAAGGUGAUGUAUAGGGGCUGACGCCUGCCCGGUGCUGGAAGGUUAAGAGGAGUGGUUAGCUUCUGCGAAGCUACGAAUCGAAGCCCCAGUAAACGGCGGCCGUAACUAUAACGGUCCUAAGGUAGCGAAAUUCCUUGUCGGGUAAGUUCCGACCCGCACGAAAGGCGUAACGAUUUGGGCACUGUCUCAACGAGAGACUCGGUGAAAUCAUAGUACCUGUGAAGAUGCAGGUUACCCGCGACAGGACGGAAAGACCCCGUGGAGCUUUACUGUAGCCUGAUAUUGAAAUUCGGCACAGCUUGUACAGGAUAGGUAGGAGCCUUUGAAACGUGAGCGCUAGCUUACGUGGAGGCGCUGGUGGG
rnacentral:rRNA from 1 species